rnacentral:rRNA from 12 species
UUGUACACACCGCCCGUCACACCAUGGGAGCGGGUUCUGCCAGAAGUAGUUAGCCUAACCGCAAGGGGGGCGAUUACCACGGCAGGGUUCGUGACUGGGGUGAAGUCGUAACAAGGUAGCCGUAUCGGAAGGUGCGGCUGGAUCACCUCCUU